rnacentral:rRNA from 1 species
AUUGAACGCUGGCGGCAUGCUUUACACAUGCAAGUCGAACGGCAGCGCGGGCUUCGGCCUGGCGGCGAGUGGCGAACGGGUGAGUAAUACAUCGGAACGUGCCCAGUAGUGGGGGAUAGCUCGGCGAAAGCCGGAUUAAUACCGCAUACGACCUGAGGGUGAAAGCGGGGGAUCUUCGGACCUCGCGCUAUUUGAGCGGCCGAUGGCAGAUUAGUUAGUUGGUGGGGUAAAGGCCUACCAAGGCGACGAUCUGUAGCUGGUCUGAGAGGACGACCAGCCACACUGGAACUGAGACACGGCCCAGACUCCUACGGGAGGCAGCAGUGGGGAAUUUUGGACAAUGGGCGAAAGCAUGAUCCAGCAAUGCCGCGUGUGUGAUGAAGGCCUUCGGGUUGUAAAGCACUUUUGGCGGGAACGAAAAGGACUGUGCCAAUACCACGGUUCGAUGACGGUACCCGCAGAAUAAGCACCGGCUAACUACGUG